rnacentral:miRNA from 1 species
UUUGCCAACCCCGCCCAUU